rnacentral:rRNA from 3 species
AAAUUGAAGAGUUUGAUCAUGGCUCAGAUUGAACGCUGGCGGCAGGCCUAACACAUGCAAGUCGAACGGUAACAGGAAGCAGCUUGCUGCUUCGCUGACGAGUGGCGGACGGGUGAGUAAUGUCUGGGAAACUGCCUGAUGGAGGGGGAUAACUACUGGAAACGGUGGCUAAUACCGCAUAACGUCGCAAGACCAAAGAGGGGGACCUUCGGGCCUCUUGCCAUCAGAUGUGCCCAGAUGGGAUUAGCUUGUUGGUGAGGUAACGGCUCACCAAGGCGACGAUCCCUAGCUGGUCUGAGAGGAUGACCAGCCACACUGGAACUGAGACACGGUCCAGACUCCUACGGGAGGCAGCAGUGGGGAAUAUUGCACAAUGGGCGCAAGCCUGAUGCAGCCAUGCCGCGUGUAUGAAGAAGGCCUUCGGGUUGUAAAGUACUUUCAGCGGGGAGGAAGGUGUUGCGGUUAAUAACCGCAGCAAUUGACGUUACCCGCAGAAGAAGCACCGGCUAACUCCGUGCCAGCAGCCGCGGUAAUACGGAGGGUGCAAGCGUUAAUCGGAAUUACUGGGCGUAAAGCGCACGCAGGCGGUCUGUCAAGUCGGAUGUGAAAUCCCCGGGCUCAACCUGGGAACUGCAUUCGAAACUGGCAGGCUUGAGUCUUGUAGAGGGGGGUAGAAUUCCAGGUGUAGCGGUGAAAUGCGUAGAGAUCUGGAGGAAUACCGGUGGCGAAGGCGGCCCCCUGGACAAAGACUGACGCUCAGGUGCGAAAGCGUGGGGAGCAAACAGGAUUAGAUACCCUGGUAGUCCACGCCGUAAACGAUGUCUACUUGGAGGUUGUGCCCUUGAGGCGUGGCUUCCGGAGCUAACGCGUUAAGUAGACCGCCUGGGGAGUACGGCCGCAAGGUUAAAACUCAAAUGAAUUGACGGGGGCCCGCACAAGCGGUGGAGCAUGUGGUUUAAUUCGAUGCAACGCGAAGAACCUUACCUGGUCUUGACAUCCACAGAACUUUCCAGAGAUGGAUUGGUGCCUUCGGGAACUGUGAGACAGGUGCUGCAUGGCUGUCGUCAGCUCGUGUUGUGAAAUGUUGGGUUAAGUCCCGCAACGAGCGCAACCCUUAUCCUUUGUUGCCAGCGAUUAGGUCGGGAACUCAAAGGAGACUGCCAGUGAUAAACUGGAGGAAGGUGGGGAUGACGUCAAGUCAUCAUGGCCCUUACGACCAGGGCUACACACGUGCUACAAUGGCGCAUACAAAGAGAAGCGACCUCGCGAGAGCAAGCGGACCUCAUAAAGUGCGUCGUAGUCCGGAUUGGAGUCUGCAACUCGACUCCAUGAAGUCGGAAUCGCUAGUAAUCGUGGAUCAGAAUGCCACGGUGAAUACGUUCCCGGGCCUUGUACACACCGCCCGUCACACCAUGGGAGUGGGUUGCAAAAGAAGUAGGUAGCUUAACCUUCGGGAGGGCGCUUACCACUUUGUGAUUCAUGACUGGGGUGAAGUCGUAACAAGGUAACCGUAGGGGAACCUGCGGUUGGAUCACCUCCUUACCUUAAAGAAGC